UUUAAACUUUAUUGGAAUUUUUUUUGUAUGCACUUCGUUGCCAAUGGCCCAACUUGGUCACGGUUGUGAAGGCCUAUUUUAUUUGGGCCUAACUAUUUUUGUGUGCAUGUAUGAAAGUGUGUUUGUCGUUAUAGGCCAUGCACAUAUUGGACCGGACGAAUAACUGAAGAGCUGAACAACUCACGAGCCUGAGCAGGAGUGCGUCAGGUUUCUGGUUCACCAUCUUCCAGCUGUUCCGGCCCGUCUCAGUGCCAUCUGAGCCGCGUAGAGCCUCGGACGAAGAGAGCGGGUCCGGGACACGGGGCGGCAAACAGGACAGGGAUCUGCGUCACACCCAUUGAAACCCGAAUGAAUGAACCAACCAGCUCUCUGUGACCUGGAGGAUCACAUGCACAACAUGCGCACUUCGCUGACCUCCUGCUGUGCGUGUCCAGACCAGAUGAAGACACUGACAUCAUCUACUGCAGAUUGACACCAGCAGGUGCACCAGACUUUCACAGUCUGAAGACUCCCUCUCAUCACAUUCACGACCACGUCACGUUCUUGUGCCUCUAAAUUUAAUUUCUGUUCCCUCUUGACUCAGAGGAGUCACACGGGUUAAUAACUGAGGUGAGGCUUGUUACCUAAUGCAGUCUUUGGAGGGUCGGGUCCACGAAGCAAACAUUUUCAGACAAAGAAAAAGAAUAUUCAUAUUCCAAGGGUUUGUCCCACAUUUUGAACAGCAAAUUGUGUAAGUCUCACCUCAUUUGUCCGAUUUCGUCUUUGGCGUCUGCUACUUCCUGGUUAGUGGGCCCAUUAGUUUAGGCUACCAAACUCUCAAAAUGCUGAAUAAAACAAUAAUAUAGAGUAGUGAAGUAUGGUUGUGGUUAAGUAUACUGACAGGGGAAGAAGUUACUGAGGAAAGACGUGUUCAUGUUGGCAGUGUGUGAUAUUUGGGGCUGCUGAAUCCAAAGAUGGAUUAUCAAUGGUUGCAUUAUCGUAGCAUUUAUAGCUUUGCUGGGCGAGUUACCUUGGAGCUGCAAGCACUACUUAUUUUGUUAACUCGAUUCACGUUUUUCUAGAAAAUGCCAGAAAAUUGUCUCAGAACCCAAGGUGUUAGCUUAACGUUAUUGGUUUUGUCGAGCCAACAGUCGAGAACACAAAGAUGUUUCACAACGAUCAAAUGUAUCAAAUCUGUUGAGAGUUUGGAACCAACAUUUAUUUUUUAAAUGUUUGCGUCUGAAUGUGAUUGAGCAAAAAUAUUACCAAAAUGUUACACUUAUUAUUUCAGGCCUGGACAGGUGUUUAUUACCUUUGCCUAAAUUCCUACUUCCACGCAUCUAAUUUGGAAACUUAUCUUUCCCCCUAUCAUUUUUGUAGUGCAUGAUCUUUUCCUAGACAUAACCAAGUGUGAUUUUUGCCUGAACAUAAGGACAUUUGUGGCAGGAAGGGAAAGUUCUCCCUUUUGCGUUUGCAUUUUAUUUUGGUUAGGUUUUUCCAGAUGUUGUAAUUAAAGUCCAGCCUGUGAACCAGCUUCUUUUCCUGUGGUCCAUUCAGCCGUGGAUAAGCCUCGUCUCUAGCACUUAGAUGACAGCACUUAGAUAACACUUGUCAUGGUGAAGAUUUCCCCACUGGCUUGGCUGGCCUCCACCAUGCUGUGAUAGUAUUUUGUGUCAUCGAAAAAUGACGCCAGGUGG
ensembl:lncRNA